rnacentral:rRNA from 1 species
GAUGAACGCUGGCGGCGUGCCUAAUACAUGCAAGUCGAGCGAACGGACGAGAAGCUUGCUUUUCUGAUGUUAGCGGCGGACGGGUGAGUAACACGUGGAUAACCUACCUAUAAGACUGGGAUAACUUCGGGAAACCGGAGCUAAUACCGGAUAAUAUUUUGAACCGCAUGGUUCAAAAGUGAAAGACGGUCUUGCGGUCACUUAUAGAUGGAUCCGCGCUGCAUUAGCUAGUUGGUAAGGUAACGGCUUACCAAGGCAACGAUGCAUAGCCGACCUGAGAGGGUGAUCGGCGACACUGGAACUGAGACACGGUCCAGACUCCUACGGGAGGCAGCAGUAGGGAAUCUUCCGCAAUGGGCGAAAGCCUGACGGAGCAACGCCGCGUGAGUGAUGACGGUCUUCGGAUCGUAAAACUCUGUUAUUAGGGAAGAACAUAUGUGUAAGUAACUGUGCACAUCUUGACGGUACCUAAUCAGAAAGCCACGGCUAACUACGUG